rnacentral:lncRNA from 1 species
AAGAAAUUUAAAUUUUCGAAAAAAAAGAAAUAAAUUUGGCAUGAAUUAUAUUGCAUAAUUGAAAUUGAUUUCGAAUUAAUGAACUAUAUAUGCUUAUUUUCUACAAAUGAUUAUUUACUUAUAUGCCUGAUGAAAUCUGUUGAGAAGUGAUCAUUGCUUACUGGGCUGUCUAGCUCAUUACUUUCUAUUUUACUGUUUUUACAGAUGUUGAGGAAUUAAGAUGAUACAAGAUAUGAAUGGAAGAGUGAUCAGAA